rnacentral:rRNA from 1 species
GUGGGGAAUUUUGGACAAUGGGCGCAAGCCUGAUCCAGCAAUGCCGCGUGCAGGAAGAAGGCCUUCGGGUUGUAAACUGCUUUUGUACGGAACGAAAAGGCUCUGGUUAAUACCUGGGGCUCAUGACGGUACCGUAAGAAUAAGCACCGGCUAACUACGUGCCAGCAGCCGCGGUAAUACGUAGGGUGCAAGCGUUAAUCGGAAUUACUGGGCGUAAAGCGUGCGCAGGCGGUUUUGUAAGACAGACGUGAAAUCCCCGGGCUCAACCUGGGAAUGGCGUUUGUGACUGCAAAGCUGGAGUGCGGCAGAGGGGGAUGGAAUUCCGCGUGUAGCAGUGAAAUGCGUAGAUAUGCGGAGGAACACCGAUGGCGAAGGCAAUCCCCUGGGCCUGCACUGACGCUCAUGCACGAAAGCGUGGGGAGCAAACAGGAUUAGAUACCCGUGUAGUCC